AAACAGUAGGUGCACUUGCCUGUCCACUCAUGCAGAGUCCCCAAGGACCGCAAUAUGAGCAACACGAGUGGAAAGUUUUGCAGCAAGCGAAAAAGACUGUAGGAGAGAAUGGGGUAAAGUCUGAUGUGGCGCGAAUGAUGCUUGAUUGGCUAUUUACUGUUGAUGUUAAUUCCCCAAUGGACUGUGCUAAUCUGGCUAGGCUGUUGUUAACUCCUUCUCAAGUUAUUAUUUGGCAAUGGGAGUGGGAACACUUAGCGCGGGUGGAGGCUGGGCGUCCGCGUAACCAGGGGGAUGUCUUGUAUGGGAUUAAUCCUGACAUGAUAACAGGUUUGGGAGCAUAUGGGAAUAUGGCAGCACAGUUAACAUAUCCUUUGCAACUGCAUUACUUGGCAGCUCAGUUGACUAAGAUGGCCUUUAAUGCUGUGCCUGACAUGCAACCUUGGCCAUCGUUCGCUGCCACUCAGCAAGGAGCAACCGAGCCAAAUCCACCAUUUUUGGACAGGCUGUGGAAGGCUCUUGCCAGUCAAGCAGAGAUGUCUGAGGAAGCUAAACAGAGCAUGUUUCAGCUGCUUGCCUUUGAGAAUGCUAAUCCCUCUAUGCAGCGACUGCUGGCUACACUCCCAGAAGAUGCUGGGAUUGGAGAAAUGUUGGAUCUUGCUAGUAGGGCAGAGCAACAGCGUAGUGGGCAAGUUAUGGCAAAUGCCGUGGCACAAGCCAUCCAACCCACUGCGAGGCUGCUUGCAGCAGCUGUGAUGAGAAUAAGUGGGAAGGAUGGAGGGCAGAAACCGGGGAUAUGUUUCCGCUGAGGGCAGAAAGGUCAUUUUCACUGUGCCUGUCGCACCAAGGUCUGGUGUGAGCAGUGGCAUGGGCCCUCUCCAGGUGGCAAGAUCAGUGUGUAAAUUUGGUAUCAGAUGCCUUAUACGUGGUAGGAGUAGUGCUACAUAUAGAGCAAGCUUUGAUUAAGCUCCCCCAGAACCCAAGACUAGCUCAACUCUUCUUGCAGGUUAAGCGGGCAAGAGAUGAUCGCUGUGUGCCUUGUAGCAUCCUGCAUAUCAGGAGUCACCUAGGGACCCAGGGUCUAGGAGAGGGCAACGCUUGUGCUGAUGCACUGGUCAGUCCACUACUACAUGCCCCGCAGGAUUCCUUUCAGGCCACAAGAAGCAGCCAUAACAUGUUCCAUCAGUCGGCUAAGGCACUGAGGCGCCAGUUCGGCCUGACGGUUGUGUCUCCCCAGGAUCUGGCCCAUUAUGGGUUCCCAGUAAAUGGACCAAGCCAGCCCCGAACAUCAACAACCCAUCUCAACCCGACGACUACAACAGCGACUCCGGCGAGCAAUAGCCGCGUGGUGUACAGACAUCAUCCAUAGUGCCGCGACUGCCAGGCUGCUACCGGUAUUCCCUCAGCAGAUGGCAGAAAACAUCUCAUCGGGAAGGCCUCUUGGCCACUGGGAACUGCCAGGAGCAAUUAGCGGUUACAAGAAUCAGAAGUGCACUAAUUGUGGGGUCGGGUACAGUUAUUGAUCCAGUGCGGGGGCUGUGGUAUUUUUACUCAUCGGGAUACUGAAACUGUAGGUAAAACUGGUGUGCUGUGUGGUCUUAGCUUACUGACGAGGAACGCUUUGUAGAAGUGUGUAGCACAAAUCUAGUGCGUUCUUAUAGACAGUGAUUGGUGUGCUGAUAAGCGUGCCUUGCUUACUGUAAUGCUCGCAAAGAAAUGGUUCAAGAUGUGAUUCCUACUACCUGGCUUGUGCCAAAAGAAAAAGGGGAAAUUGUAGGAGAGUGGCUCAGGGAGCAAGAAUUUGUGAGCUCGAGUGCUAUGUGCACAGCCCAGGCUAUGAGACCUUGAAGCUGUCAAAGCAGGAAGAAGACCUAAGGCUUCAGUUAAGAUAAGGGGGUAGCCAGCCUGGGAAGAGAUCAAGACAGAGGAAUGUGAAGAACAGUGAAAAAAGCCCUGUGAUGAUUAAUGCUGUACAAAUAGCUAGCGAGCAAGACGCGUGAUUUCUGUGUGCUAACCAAUUAUAGGAUGCCGUGUGCACCCUGUAUUUCUAUAUAAGUUUGGGCUGAUUCUGGCAAUAAAAACCCCUUUAGAAGUUUC